rnacentral:rRNA from 1 species
UACGGGGGGGGCAAGCGUUGUUCGGAAUUACUGGGCGUAAAGGGCGCGUAGGCGGCCUGUUAAGUCAGACGUGAAAUCCCUCGGCUCAACCGGGGAACUGCGUCUGAUACUGGCGGGCUUGAAUUCGGGAGAGGGAUGUGGAAUUCCAGGUGUAGCGGUGAAAUGCGUAGAUAUCUGGAGGAACACCGGUGGCGAAGGCGGCAUCCUGGACCGACAUUGACGCUGAGGGCGCGAAAGCCAGGGGAGCAAACGGG